rnacentral:rRNA from 1 species
UACGUAGGGUGCAAGCGUUGUCCGGAAUUAUUGGGCGUAAAGAGCUCGUAGGCGGUUUGUCGCGUCUGCUGUGAAAACUCGGGGCUUAACUCCGGGCUUGCAGUGGGUACGGGCAGACUAGAGUGCGGUAGGGGAGACUGGAAUUCCUGGUGUAGCGGUGAAAUGCGCAGAUAUCAGGAGGAACACCAAUGGCGAAGGCAGCUCGCUGGGACGGUACUGACGCUGAGGCGCGAAAGCGUGGGGAGCAAACAGG